AUUGAACGCUGGCGGCAGGCCUAACACAUGCAAGUCGAACGAGUGGCGGACGGGUGAGUAAUGUCUGGGAAACUGCCCGAUGGAGGGGGAUAACUACUGGAAACGGUAGCUAAUACCGCAUACCAUCGGAUGUGCCCAUAUGGUAUUAGCUAGUAGGUGGGGUAACGGCUCACCUAGGCGACGAUCCCUAGCUGGUCUGAGAGGAUGACCAGCCACACUGGAACGAAGACACGGUCCAGAAUCCUACGGGAGGCAGCAGUGGGGAAUAGUGCACAAUGGGCGCGAGCCUGAUGCAGCCAUGCCGAGUGUAUGAAGAAGGCCUUCGGGUUGUAAAGUACUUUCAGCGAGGAGGCGUUACUCGCAGGAGAAGCACCGGGUAACUCAGUGCCAGCAGCCGCGGUAAUAC
rnacentral:rRNA from 1 species